AACAACAUUGUCUUUCUUUUGUAGCACAG
rnacentral:piRNA from 1 species